rnacentral:rRNA from 1 species
CUGAAUGGGGCAACCCAGCAUGUUGAAGACAUGUUACCCGACUUUGUCGGGGGCGAACCCGGGGAACUGAAACAUCUAAGUACCCGGAGGAAUAGAAAACAAUAGUGAUUCCGUUAGUAGUGGCGAGCGAACGCGGAAAAGCCCAAACCAGUCUUGUUACGGCAAGGCUGGGGAUGUAGGACCACGAUAUUCAAUGCUUUAUGAACUGGAAACUGCUGGAAAGUGGUACCAUAGAGGGUGAUAGUCCCGUACAGGUAAAGACAGUUAUUGAUAGUGGUAUCCUGAGUAGCACGGGGCACGGGAAACCUUGUGUGAAUCUGCCAGGACC